UUUGAUAGAGGCGCGGUACUUAUCAGUAAGCAUAUGCAUUGAUGCGGAAACAUCGCUUGUGCUGAAAGGAAAUACCGCCGAAGUGAACUUUGAUUUCCGUCAUGGUGCGCUGGGGUGCGGCAGAACAUGUCGCAGACUGUCACAUAAUUAUGUGGAGUGCUAUCGUU
rnacentral:ncRNA from 1 species